UACAGGGGGUGCAAACGUUGCUCGGAAUCAUUGGGCGUAAAGCGCACGUAGGCGGUUCGUUAUGUCGGAUGUGAAAGCCCUUGGCUUAACCGAGGAAGUGCAUCCGAAACUGGCGAGCUAGAGUACGAAAGAGGAUCGCGGAAUUCCCGGUGUAGAGGUGAAAUUCGUAGAUAUCGGGAGGAACACCGGUGGCGAAGGCGGAUCUCUGGGCCGAUACUGACGCUGAGGAGCGAAAGCGUGGGGAGCGAACAGG
rnacentral:rRNA from 1 species